rnacentral:pre_miRNA from 1 species
GAACUACUCCCUCCGUUCGGAAUUACUGGUCUCAGAAAUGGAUGUAUCUAGACGUUCUAGAUACAUCCAUUUCUGAGACCAGUAAUUCCGAACGGAGGAAGUACCUA